GAACUUGUGACGCAAACAGAAAUAAUCCGUGGUAUCGAAACAAUUUCGAUGGGUAUUGAACGAAUUGUGACCAAGAACUACCGAAUGAUUAGUGAAAUUCAACCUGAAAUAAACACAAUUCUUCUGACGGUAGAAAAGAUGUACCAACUUAUCCAAGACACGGCGAAUAUUCAAGGGAAAAUCGUAUUAGAUAUAAAUGGAAUACCAAACAAAGCAGAGUUGUUACACGAGAUUGUACAACUUUGGAAAAGCUUCAAAACCAAUCCAGGACUAAACGCUUCUAAUGAAAUAGGACAUUGUCUGUCUGUUACUG